GACGAACGCUGGCGGCGUGCUUAAUACAUGCAAGUCGAGCGAGAAGCCACCGCUCCGUAAGGAGUGGUGGUGGAAAGCGGCGAACGGGUGAGUAACACGUGGGUAACGUGCCCCGAACACUGGGAUAACGGCGGGAAACCGCCGCUAAUACCGGAUAACCCUGCAGCGUCGCAUGAUGCAGCAGGCCAAGCUCCGACGGUUCGGGAUCGGCCCGCGGCGUAUCAGCUUGUUGGUGGGGUAACGGCCUACCAAGGCAGUGACGCGUAGCUGGCGUGAGAGCGCGACCAGCCACACUGGGACUGAGACACGGCCCAGACUCCUACGGGAGGCAGCAGUAGGGAAUCUUGCGCAAUGGGCGAAAGCCUGACGCAGCGACGCCGCGUGAGGGAUGAAGGCCUUCGGGUUGUAAACCUCUUUCAGCGGGGACGAAGCCUCACGGUGACGGUACCCGCAGAAGAAGGUCCGGCCAACUACGUGCCAGCCGCCGCGGUAA
rnacentral:rRNA from 1 species